GGCCAGAUAGCCCAGUUGGUAGAGCACCUGACUAGAGAUUCAGGGGGCCCGGGUUCGAAUCCCGGUCUGGUCC
rnacentral:tRNA from 1 species